GUUUCGCACUAGGGGAGCUGUAAGGCUGAGAAGCGGGUGAAAUUCCUGCUGACCCUCAUGACCAGAACUAGGUAAUGCUAGCGUGGGGAAGUGCAAGUGACUUCAU
rnacentral:ncRNA from 2 species